GAGUUUUGUUUCCCCUGGAACUGAAAUUAAACCGCUUUGGAGCUGGAAACCAGCAACUCUUGAAAAUCACUCUGCCAGCAAAGCAAGCCGGGAGGAGAAAAAACACAGUAUCCCAGAAGUGAGCUACAGGGAAUAGUAAAAAUCCAUAAAGAAGAAGGAAAUUCACACACCAGAGCAAAGCUCAGAACUAGGAAGGGUUGAUGAUGAUCAUGGACAGUGUACUCCCCAAAAGAAGUCAGGCUUCGGCCCUGGGGUUCUGUGCUGAAGGAGCCUGUGUCACACCUGCUGGCCUCUCCUUCCACAUUUCAUCUGGCAAAACACAGGUAAAAGUGCUCUGCUCCUGUCUGAAACAGCUUCUUAGGAAGAGGAAUGAGACUAUGGCGAGACAAAAUCUCCCAUUUUUCCCCUGAUGAAACACUGCAUGAAUGUUCUCAUGGUUAUUCCAUUGCACAUGGGGAUCUCAUCUCCUGUUCCACCUUACUAUGGCUCUGAACAAAGACCUUUCUUUUUUCCUCCUGCUACUCAGGCAGGAGUGGACCUCACACUGAAAACAAGUGCUUUCUCUAAAAGAAAAACCAAACCUGUACCUCUCCUUGUUCCAGGGCCUCAGAAACUCUUCACUGGCAUUAGAGACGCCAUCUGCCAACAGCAGUGUCAGGACAAGACUGUACCCUUGCAAGACAAAGCCUUCAAUGCUGAACCUUAAAUCCAAGCCUUCUGCUCUUGCCAGUGGGACAAAUUCCACUUUUAUUCCAGUUCAUCUGUAAAACAUGAGGAGCCAGCUGAGCACAGUGUUGGUUCAGAAUGAGAGCAGCUGACAAGGGAAAGGUAAAAGGAACUUGUAACUGCUGCAGUUCUAAAAAAUUAUUUCAAUGUGACAAAAAAUCUAACUUCCAAAGGAUGCAGGAAGGCACUAGGACAUCAUCCAACAUUCCCUGACAUAGCAGCCUCCAAGGUGUAAUUAAUGCAUUUAAACACAGGCCACCAAGUCCUCUUGUCUCAUGUUUUCUAGAGGUGCCUGGUCCUGUUGUCCUCUCGUGCUUGGUUACAAAAGGCUGCAAAUGAGGAGGUGGCAGCUCUGAGAGUGGGGGCAGAGUUAAUGGUCAGAACUUGGGUGCAGGUGGAAAAGCAGGCCAUGAAAGAGAAGCUUGGAUAGAAAAAGGCCCAGACCUACUGCUUUAGCUUACACAUAAGAUGUUGGGGGGUAUUUUGGGGGGUGAAUUCUAACUCUCAUGAUCAUUUACAUAUGUUGCAGACUGCUGUGUGUUACUUUGAUUCGGGGACCGUGAUACCCAAAGCCUGCCCUUUAUACACAAGGUACCUUCCAAAUCUUCCUUCAUUAUCAGAGACUUAGAAAAUCAGUCUUCAAGGCAAACUGUAAAAGACCAGAUCAUGAGCAGCAUGUAGAGCUUCCCAUGGAGCAUCCUGCUCCUCUCUGGCUACACCUCCUCCUCCAACCCUAGCUGUUUCUCCAUCUCCUUAACACAGGGAGGUAGGAUGACACAAAGCAUUUCCCAGGGAACUGUCCCCACUAAUAGUGGCAACAGUGCUGAAGUGGAGCCUGAAUCCCAUCAGUGGGAAAGCCCCCUCACAUCCAGACAGCAGCACUGAUCAGAGAGUCUGGGACUCCCAGGAUGUUACAGUGUGCUAUUAGACAGAGAGGGAUAUUCAGAAACAGUCUAAUUAGUUGCAUUUUCUUUUCUAACCUCAGUCAAAAACCAGUCUGAUUCUGCUUUAGAUUUUGACAUCCUAUUAAAUGCAGAAUACAGGCCAAUAACUUUCAUUUUCCCCUGUGAUGCUACAGACUCCUGUUUUUAUAGUUUGACAGAGAGACAUAAUUAGGCCUCAAAAAGGACAAGUCUGGACUAUUAGUUCCCCACAGAGGCUCCCUGGAAAGUCAGAACCCACAGUUAUUCUCCACCUUCCCACUGAGGCAAAUUUGUGGGUAUCUGCUCUCCUGCCUCCGAUACCCUGCUCAUAACCUUUAAGCCUGUGUCUUUACACUCUGUUCUCUUAAAGGGCACAACAACAGACAGGUGUUGGACUUUCCAAAGGGACAAGAGCAAGGUAAGGACAACAUAUAGCAUUGCUAAUGCUAUAGGUGUGAGUGGUUUCAGUGCUGAACCCAGAGCAGCAAUGUAUUGCCAUAUUUCUGCCCCAUUCACUGUUGCCCAACACAAUUGGGCUUUAGCACAAAAGCUGUCACCAGAGCAAGGCAUUUACUGACACUUGUUUCCUGGGGUCCUUGCCUGUUCUCCUCCUCUGCUUCAGAGUUACCUACAGCUUCACAUUUGGUUCCUGAACAAUCAGGAAGCAGAUUCAGUCUCUGGCUACUACAAGUCCCUCCCUCCUUAGGCUUUCUUUGCCAAGCUGUACAUACCAGCUCCCUCUCCCUUUUGGUUUCCAAGUGCUUGGGUGGUUUCUGUACCUCUCCUGUUGAGCUGCAACCUUGGGCAUGCCUGAUUAAAAUGAGCUCUCAUCCUCAAUGUGAGCACAGCGCUCUGGGCCUUUGUUUUUCUAAUAGCGUCAUAUUUCAGAUGCAUCUUCAGUUCAUAAUCCCCAGUAAUCCUCAGAUCCUGGUGUGCCUAGCCAGCAGUCCCUAAUUCUGUGUAAACCACUUUACAGCUGUCUUUAUUAUAACUCAUGUUACUGUUUUCAAGCCAUUUCCCCAAUCUGUCCACAUUGUAUUGAGUUUUAAUCCCAUCUUCCAAAGUGUUCUUCAACACAUUGCCUGGGAAUUCAACUCACAAGGAGUAUCAGCUCCUGCUCCCUCUUUCCACCUGCUUCCCAUCAGUGACCUGGGUGCACAGUCUGUUCCUGUGCCAGGGAUGUGCAGUGCAGGAGAUGCUGAUGGUGCCUUUUUUUUUUCCUUGCAGCAUGUUCCUUGCCUGUGUGAGACGGCAAACCUUCUCAAGGUUAUUUUGCCACAUGGAAAGCCCUGGACACUUGGUACCACAGAAACAAGGAAAAAUUCUGGGCAGAGCUUAUUUGCUUCUCAACAAGUGCAGUAAAAUGUUUUCUAAUAAGCAAGGAUUAGUCUUCACUUUGGGUUACCACCCCCCUAACUAGGCUGCAAGAGCAACCAAAGCACUCCAUCACCCAGCAGUGUGCAGUUGCUAAAUAUCCCCAUCACUGACACUGGCACCUUUUCCAAGCCAAAAGGGCAUCGGCCAUGGGGAGCUGUGCAGAUGCUGACUGCAGCACAGCACCCUGUAAGCACUCAAUUAGCCUGGCCACUUGUGCUCAAUGUCUCAAGCACUCGGUGGAAAUAAAACGCUUACACAGUCCCUCUGCCUACAAGGCCUUGAAAUCUUUAGGGGGCCUGGCUUUGCUGCCUGGUUUUCCACUGACAGGCUGAUAGAGACAUCACAAAUCUCUCCAAAUCACUAGGCUUCUUUCAACAUCAAAGGUGUCAAUGUUCACUCUGCCUUGGAGCCUGGGGCAAUAUAAAUCACACUUGAAUAUGUGAACUGAGUGUCUGAGGUUAAACUCUCUCUGUAUAUACAAAUAUUUCUCCUUGGGUAACUGUACUGUUUCCUCAUCAGUGUUGAAUAUUUUCUAUAAAUCCUAAUAUUCGAAUGGAAAACAAAGCCUUACAGGUGAAAAAAGGGGGAAAAAAGGAUGAACUAUGGUGUUGUGGGAAGAGAAUAACUCAUUUGAAAUAUACAUUGCCAUUAUUUUGGA